rnacentral:tRNA from 1 species
GCCUUCGGGGUGUAGUGGUCAGCACACUGGACGCGUAUUCGAGAGGUCCGUGGUUCGAGUCCAGGCGAAAGCU